rnacentral:rRNA from 1 species
AGUGAACGCUGGCGGCAGGCCUAACACAUGCAAGUCGAACGGCAGCACAGGAGAGCUUGCUCUCUGGGUGGCGAGUGGCGGACGGGUGAGGAAUGCGUCGGAAUCUGCCUAUUUGUGGGGGAUAACGUAGGGAAACUUACGCUAAUACCGCAUACGACCUACGGGUGAAAGUGGGGGACCGCCAGGCCUCACGCAGAUAGAUGAGCCGACGCCGGAUUAGCUAGUUGGCGGGGUAAAGGCCCACCAAGGCGACGAUCCGUAGCUGGUCUGAGAGGAUGAGCAGCCACACUGGAACUGAGACACGGUCCAGACUCCUACGGGAGGCAGCAGUGGGGAAUAUUGGACAAUGGGCGCAAGCCUGAUCCAGCCAUGCCGCGUGUGUGAAGAAGGCCUUCGGGUUGUAAAGCACUUUUGUCCGGAAAGAAAAGCAUCCGGUUAAUAACCGGGUGUCAUGACGGUACCGGAAGAAUAAGCACCGGCUAACUUCGUGCCAGCCGCCGCCGUAAGAC